GGUAGNCCACGCUGUAAACGAUGUCGACUUGGAGGUUGUGCCCUUGAGGCGUGGCUUCCGGAGCUAACGCGUUAAGUCGACCGCCUGGGGAGUACGGCCGCAAGGUUAAAACUCAAAUGAAUUGACGGGGGCCCGCACAAGCGGUGGAGCAUGUGGUUUAAUUCGAUGCAACGCGAAGAACCUUACCUACUCUUGACAUCCACGGAACUUGCCAGAGAUGGCUUGGUGCCUUCGGGAACCGUGAGACAGGUGCUGCAUGGCUGUCGUCAGCUCGUGUUGUGAAAUGUUGGGUUAAGUCCCGCAACGAGCGCAACCCUUAUCCUUUGUUGCCAGCACUUCGGGUGGGAACUCAAAGGAGACUGCCGGUGAUAAACCGGAGGAAGGUGGGGAUGACGUCAAGUCAUCAUGGCCCUUACGAGUAGGGCUACACACGUGCUACAAUGGCGUAUACAAAGAGAAGCAAACUCGCGAGAGCCAGCGGACCUCAUAAAGUACGUCGUAGUCCGGAUUGGAGUCUGCAACUCGACUCCAUGAAGUCGGAAUCGCUAGUAAUCGUAGAUCAGAAUGCUACGGUGAAUACGUUCCCGGGCCUUGUACACACCGCCCGUCACACCAUGGGGGUGGGUUGCAAAAGAAGUAGGUAGCUUAACCUUCGGGAGGGCGCUUACCACUUUGUGAUUCAUGACUGGGGUG
rnacentral:rRNA from 1 species